GCUGCUAUGGCCGAGAGGUUAAGGCGACAGACUUGAAUCUAAUUCAAGGGCAUCUGUUUCACUUUGUGAGCGUAGGUUCAAACCCUACUGGCAGCG